rnacentral:tRNA from 1 species
GUGACCUUAGUUUAGCGGUAAAACUCCGCUCUGUGGAAGCGGUAUCACGGGUUCAACUCCCGUAGGUCACC